GUUUCUGAAAAACUCUUGAAUCUGGAUUCCACCUCUCUCAAUCGAUACUUCAUAUUCAACCCUCAUUCCAUCAUCUCUCUCAAUCGGACACUCUCUCUCAUUUCUGCAGUAGCGCCGUCGCGAGCCACUUCGUCCCAACGUCAUCAAAUCUCCUCCUCCGUCACCGAAACGGUUCUGAGUCACCCAUUCCACCGUUCUUCUUCGAUUCCACGGUGGAGAUUGUGAGCAUUAUCUUGAAUAGCUGUUGUUGCUGAAAAAUUGUUUGGUUGAACUAUGGCUGAAGAAAUUGCUGGGUAGACAAAACUAGAAUAUCUUUGUUAGGGGUUACUUGUGAAGAGUGAAGUUCGAUUCGUUUUCAAGAAUCUUACAGUGUGUGUUUCCAGAAGUUGCUGACUUUCUCUACAGGAUAUUGAAGGGUAAAAAGGUUACAGUUGCUGGCAAGAAGAAAAAGUAGAUAUUUAGCAUCCUUUUGACUUGUGUAAAAAAUAACAAUGUUUUGGAUGAUGCAAUUGUUUU